UUGACAGCCCUUGAGUCCUCUAUCAACCGAGCAAGUAGAGCAUGAGCUGUAGCAAUGCAAAUCUUCCCCACAUUGCCCCCUGCCACACUGUGCCUCUACACUGACCCAGAGAGAUCACCAUUCUCCAGGGCCUAUUUAAUCUUUAUCUCUC
rnacentral:sRNA from 1 species